AGGGCAUGUCCGCCGAUCCCAAGGAGGCAAUCUGUCAGGCGCCGCCCGGGCGGCAGUAUGCCUGAGGGGGUCCUCCGUGUUCGCGCCUCCCGCCGCCUGCACUGAAAGGUCUGUACCUGAGCCUGGAUACUUGAACAGAGGCAGACACUGCGGCUCAAAACCCCAAGGGUAGGUACCUAUUGUGCGGAGUCUCGGAACGCCUGCCUGGAAGAAGAGUUCCGGCGGCUCCCCGAACGCUUGGAGAAAGCGCUUGGAUGCAGUUGCAGGAAUAUCCUAGCUCUGAGACAAAAAUUGGGAACCUCAGCAUGAGUUUGUCACCUGAAUGAAAUAAAAAAAAUCACGUUGAAGGCUGGUGCAGUAACAUGUGCCUGUAGUCCCAGCUACUCUGGAGGCUGAGUCAGGAGGAUCACUUGAGACCAGAAGUUCAGGAAUUCAAGACUGGCUUGAGCAACAUAGCAAGACUUCAUUUCAAAACAAACAGAAAAAAGCCACCACCUUCAGUAUUUCUUGCCAAAGCAAAGGAGCCAUUUGUUCUUUACGAUGGUCAGGAAAGGAAGCAUCAAGGUCAUCAAAUGAAAAAUUUUCAGCAUUUCAGCCUCUCUGCUCAGGGAAAUAUCUGAAUCUAGAAUAUCACAACAUGAGCCAAAACCGCCCCAUUUCUCAUGCCACAUGUCACUCUUAACACAAGGUUACUCAACCUCGAGCAUGGUUGGCAUUUGGGGCUGAAUAAUUCUUUUUUGUAGGGGGCUGUCCUGGGCAUUGUAGGAUGCUCAUGAGCUACCUCAGUCUCUACCACCCACUAGAUGCCAGUAGCAUUGACCCCUGAUCUCUCUACCCAAGUUGUGACAACUAAAACCAUCUCUGGAUAAUGGAGGAACCUUAAAUGCAUAUUGCUAAGGAAAAGCCAAUCUGAAAGGAUUACAUAUUGUAUGAGUCCAACUAUAUGGUAAUCUGGAAAAGGCAAAACCAUGGAGACAGUGAAAAGGUAGUGGUUACCAGUGGUCCAUGGGAAGGGUUGGAUGAAUAGGUGGAGCACAGAGGAUUUUUAAGGCAGUGAAACUAUUCUGAAUGAUACUGUAAUGGUGGAUACAUGUCAUACCUUUGUCAAAACCAAUAAAAUAUAACAACCAAUAAAA
rnacentral:lncRNA from 10 species